rnacentral:rRNA from 1 species
CAGUUUAACGGCCGCGGUACCCUAACCGUGCGAAGGUAGCAUAAUCACUUGUUUCUUAAAUAGAGACUAGUAUCAACGGCAUCACGAAGACUAUACUGUCUCCCCCCUAAAAUCAAUGAAACUGAUCUCCUCGUGAAGAAGCGAGGAUAUACAUAUAAGACGAGAAGACCCCAUGGAGCUUUAAACGAACUUCAAUUGUUCCCACCCAUAACAUACAAAUUGAACACCCCUGAUAGAUAGUUUUAGGUUGGGGUGACCGCGGAGUAAAACAAAACCUCCACAGUGAAUGUAAUAAAAUUCUUAUAAAAGAACUACAAUUCUAAUAAUCAAAAAUUUGACAUAAAUUGACCCAAACACUUGAUCAAUGAACCAAGUUACCCUGGGGAUAACAGCGCAAUCCAUUUUAAGAGCCCAUAUCGACAAAUGGGUUUACGACCUCGAUGUUG